rnacentral:rRNA from 1 species
AUUGAACGCUGGCGGCAGGCCUAACACAUGCAAGUCGAACGAGUGGCGGACGGGUGAGUAAUGUCUGGGAAACUGCCUGAUGGAGGGGGAUAACUACUGCAAACGGUAGCUAAUACCGCAUACCAUCAGAUGUGCCCAGAUGGGAUUAGCUUGUUGGUGGGGUAACGGCUCACCAAGGCGACGAUCCCUAGCUGGUCUGAGAGGAUGACCAGCCACACUGGAAGUGAGCCACGGGCCAGACUCCUACGGGAGGCAGCAGUGGAGAAUAGUGUACAAUUGGCGCAAGCCAGAUGCAGCCAUGCCGCGUGUAUGAAGAAGGCCGUCGGGUUGUAAAGUAAUUUCGGCGGGGAGGCGGUACCCGCAGAAGAAGCACCGGCUAACUCCGUGCCAGCAGCCGCGGUAAUAC